GCUGACUAUCAAAAGCAAGGCAGCUACUUUUAUCAUCGAUGACUGCAAACUCACAGUUGAGAGAGAGGAAGAGAACGUUUGUGACAAUCCUCAAUCCCAUGGCCUACCCCCAAAGUAGCAGCCUGAGCAGAAAUCCAUUCAAGCGAACUCUUAGGGCUGGUCACUGGGAGUUUAACCAUGCCUCUGUGAGAGUAUACGGGCAACACAAAUUGGGCCUUCUUUCUUCUUUUCUUUUCUUCUUUUCACUUUUCUUUUAUUUGCACCCUUCCUUUCUUCUUCUCCCCUUCCUUCGAAUUCUUCCUCCUCCUCCCCAUCCCCUCCUUCUUCUUUUUCCGGGGGUGGGGGUUUAUCAAAUGGUUAGUGGCAAAGAUCUGGUAAG
rnacentral:lncRNA from 1 species